CCUACGGGAGGCAGCAGUGGGGAAUAUUGCACAAUGGGGGAAACCCUGAUGCAGCGACGCCGCGUGAGCGAUGAAGUAUUUCGGUAUGUAAAGCUCUAUCAGCAGGGAAGAAAGUGACGUUACCUGACUAAGAAGCCCCGGCUAACUACGUGCCAGCAGCCGCGGUAAUACGUAGGGGGCAAGCGUUAGCCGGAUUUACGGGUUGUAAAGGGAGCGUAGACGGCGGUGCAAGCCAGAUGUGAAAGCCUGGGGCUCAACCCCGGGACUGCAUUUGGAACUGUGCUGCUAGAGUGUCGGAGAGGCAGGCGGAAUUCCUAGUGUAGCGGUGAAAUGCGUAGAUAUUAGGAGGAACACCAGUGGCGAAGGCGGCCUGCUGGAAGAUGACUGACGUUGAGGCGCGAAAGCGUGGGGAGCAAACAGGAUUAGAUACCCCUGUAGUC
rnacentral:rRNA from 1 species